rnacentral:rRNA from 1 species
GCUCAGGAUGAACGCUGGCGGCGUGCUUAACACAUGCAAGUCGAACGAGAAUCUGCGGAACGAGGAUUCGUCCAAGUGAAGCAGAGGACAGUGGCGGACGGGUGAGUAACGCGUGAGGAACCUGCCUUUCAGAGGGGGACAACAGUUGGAAACGACUGCUAAUACCGCAUGACACAUAGAUGUCGCAUGGCAUUUAUGUCAAAGAUUUAUCGCUGAAAGAUGGCCUCGCGUCUGAUUAGCUAGUUGGUGAGGUAACGGCCCACCAAGGCGACGAUCAGUAGCCGGACUGAGAGGUUGAACGGCCACAUUGGGACUGAGAUACGGCCCAGACUCCUACGGGAGGCAGCAGUA